UUCUAUACCACAUUAUAGCCCUCAUAUACUACUUCUAUACCACAUUAUAGCCCUCAUAUACUACUUCUAUACCACAUUAUAGCCCUCAUAUACUACUUCUAUACCACAUUAUAGCCCUCAUAUACUACUUCUAUACCACAUUAUAGCUCUCAUAUACUACUUCUAUACCACAUUAUAGCCCUUCAUAUACUACUUCUUUACCACAUUAUAGCCCUCAUAUACUACUUCUAUACCACAUUAUAGCCCUCAUAUACUACUUCUAUACCACAUUAUAGCCCUCAUAUACUACUUCUAUACCACAUUAUAGCCCUUCAUAUACUACUUCUAUACUACAUUAUAGCCCUCAUAUAGUACUUCUAUACCACAUUAUAGCCCUCAUAUACUACUUCUUUACCACAUUAUAGCCCUCAUAUACUACUUCUAUACCAAAUUAUAGCCCUCAUAUACUACUUCUAUACCACAUUAUAGCCCUCAUAUACUACUUCUAUACCACAUAAUAGCCCUCAUAUACUACUUCUAUACCACAUUAUAGCCCCCAUAUACUACUUCUAUACCACAUUCUAGCCCUCAUAUACUACUUGUAUACCACAUUAUAGCCCUCAUAUACUACUUCUAUACCACAUUAUAGCCCUCAUAUACUGCUUCUAUACCACAUUAUAGCCCUCAUAUACUACUUCUAUACCACAUUAUAGCCCUCAUAUACUGCUUCUAUACCACAUUAUAGCCCUCAUAUACUACUUCUAUACCACAUUAUAGCCCUCAUAUACUACUUCUAUACCACAUUAUAGCCCUCAUAUAGUACUUCUAUACCACAUUAUAGCCCUCAUAUAGUACUUCUAUACCACAUUAUAGCUCUCAUAUAGUACUUCUAUACCACAUUAUAGCCCUCAUAUAGUACUUCUUUACCACAUUAUAGCCCUCAUAUACUACUUCUAUACCACAUUAUAGCUCUCAUAUACUACUUCUAUACCACAUUAUAGCCCUCAUAUAGUACUUCUAUACCACAUUAUAGCCCUCAUAUAGUACUUCUUUACCACAUUAUAGCCCUCAUAUACUACUUCUAUACCACAUUAUAGCUCUCAUAUACUACUUCUAUACCACAUUAUAGCCCUCAUAUAGUACUUCUAUACCACAUUAUAGCCCUCAUAUAGUACUUCUAUACCACAUUAUAGCCCUCAUAUACUACUUCUAUACCACAUUAUAGUCCUCAUAUACUACUUCUAUACCACAUUAUAGCCCUUCAUAUACUACUUCUAUACCACAUUAUAGCCCUCAUAUAGUACUUCUAUACCACAUUAUAGCCCUGAUAUACUGCUUCUAUACCACAUUAUAGCCCUGAUAUACUGCUUCUAUACCACAUUAUAGCCCUCAUAUAGUACUUCUAUACCACAUUAUAGCCCUCAUAUAGUACUUCUAUACCACAUUAUAGCCCUCAUAUACUACUUCUAUACCACAUUAUAGCCCUCAUAUAGUACUUCUAUACCACAUUAUAGCCCUCAUAUACUACUUCUAUACCACAUUAUAGCUCUCAUAUACUACUUCUUUACCACAUUAUAGCCCUCAUAUACUACUUCUAUACCACAUUAUAGCCCUCAUAUAGUACUUCUAUACCACAUUAUAGCCCUCAUAUAGUACUUCUAUACCACAUUAUAGCCCUCAUAUAGUACUUCUAUACCACAUUAUAGCCCUCAUAUACUACUUCUAUACCACAUUAUAGCCCUCAUAUACUACUUAUAUACCACAUUAUAGCCCUCAUAUACUACUUCUAUACCACAUUAUAGCCCUCAUAUACUACUUCUAUACCACAUUAUAGCCCUCAUAUAGUACUUCUAUACCACAUUAUAGCCCUCAUAUACUACUUCUAUACCACAUUAUAGCUCUCAUAUACUACUUCUUUACCACAUUAUAGCCCUCAUAUACUACUUCUAUACCACAUUAUAGCCCUCAUAUACUACUUCUAUACCACAUUAUAGCCCUCAUAUAGUACUUCUAUACCACAUUAUAGCUCUCAUAUACUACUUCUAUACCACAUUAUAGCCCUCAUAUACUACUUCUAUACCACAUUAUAGCCCUCAUAUACUACUUCUAUACCACAUUAUAGCCCUCAUACUCCGUAGCCCAAAAUCUCUUCACCAUUUACGUUCCCACUCCCUCUCUUUUUCUAUCUUUCUCUCUUUCUUUCUCACAAACAAACACAUACAGACAUGCUGAAAACAGUCCCUUCUUCCUCCCCACCCCCAGACCACCUGUGUGAGGGGAUUCAGUUGGCCAGAGUGCGUGCUUGCUCGCCUAUCUGGUAACUUAGCAACAUCCGCUCUGUUUGCUCAGUGUACGUGCGGAAAUGGGCUUCUCAGAGAGCACACUCACUCUAGAGACUAGAAAUAGUGUGUCUGUGUGUGUGUGUGUGUGUGUGUGUGUGUGUGUGUGUGUGUGUGUGUGUGUGUGUGUGUGUGUGUGUGUGUGUGUGUGUGUGUGUGUGUGUGUGUGUGUGUGUGUGACACAAAUGGGCUCUCAGUGCUACAUACACAUGGAGGAAGAAAAGGAACUACACACACAAAGACCCCAAACAAGUAAAACCCAAUUACCCAAUUACCUCUGAGACAGACAGCCGACCUUGUGAGAGAAGGAGAGAACGGGAGAGGAAGAGGCAGAGUGAGGCAGAAGAGAUAGAGAAUAGGGUAAAGAGAAACUCAUAGUGAGUGUGCUAUACAGAGAGAUGAUAUAGAGGAAGGUACUGGAGAGAGGUUUAGAAUGAUAGACAGAGAGAUGAUAUAGAGGAAGGUAAUGGAGAGAGGUUGAGAAUGAUAGACAGAGAGAUAUGAUAUAGAGGAAGGUACUGGAGAGAGGUUUAGAAUGAUAGACAGAGAGAUGUGGAUAUAGAGGAAGGUACUGGAGAGAGGUUUAGAAUGAUAGACAGAGAGAUGUGGAUAUAGGGGAAGGUACUGGAGAGAGGUUUAGAAUGAUGGACAGAGAGAUGUGGAUAUAGAGGAAGGUACUGGAGAGAGGUUUAGAAUGAUAGACAGAGAGAUGUGGAUAUAGAGGAAGGUACUGGAGAGAGGUUUAGAAUGAUAGACAGAGAGAUGUGGAUAUAGAGGAAGGUACUGGAGAGAGGUUUACAAUGAUAGACAGAGAGAUAUGAUAUAGAGGAAGGUACUGGAGAGAGGUUUAGAAUGAUAGACAGAGAGAUGUGGAUAUAGAGGAAGGUACUGGAGAGAGGUUUAGAAUGAUAGACAGAGAGAUGUGGAUAUAGAGGAAGGUACUGGAGAGAGGUUUAGAAUGAUAGACAGAGAGAUAUGAUAUAGAGGAAGGUACUGGAGAGAGGUUUAGAAUGAUAGACAGAGAGAUGUGGAUAUAGAGGAAGGUACUGGAGAGAGGUUUAGAAUGAUAGACAGAGAGAUGUGGAUAUAGAGGAAGGUACUGGACAGAGGUUUAGAAUGAUAGACAGAGAGAUAUGAUAUAGAGGAAGGUACUGGAGAGAGGUUUAGAAUGAUAGACAGAGAGAUGUGGAUAUAGAGGAAGGUACUGGAGAGAGGUUUAGAAUGAUAGACAGAGAGAUAUGAUAUAGAGGAAGGUACUGGAGAGAGGUUUAGAAUGAUAGACAGAGAGAUGUGGAUAUAGAGGAAGGUACUGGAGAGAGGUUUAGAAUGAUAGACAGAGAGAUAUGAUAUAGAGGAAGGUACUGGAGAGAGGUUUAGAAUGAUAGACAGAGAGAGAUGAUAUAGAGGAAGGUACUGGAGAGAGGUUUAGAAUGAUAGACAGAGAGAUGAUAUUGAGGAAGGUACUGGAGAGAGGUUUAGAAUGAUAGACAGAGAGAUGUGGCUAUAGAGGAAGGUACUGGAGAGAGGUUUAGAAUGACAGACAGAGAGAUGUGGAUAUAGAGGAAGGUACUGGAGAGAGGUUUAGAAUGAUAGACAGAGAGAUACGAUAUAGAGGAAGGUACUGGAGAGAGGUUUAGAAUGAUAGACAGAGAGAUGUGGAUAUAGAGGAAGGUACUGGAGAGAGGUUUAGAAUGAUAGACAGAGAGAUGUGGCUAUAGAGGAAGGUACUGGAGAGAGGUUUAGAAUGAUAGACAGAGAGAUGAUAUAGAGGAAGGUAAUGGAGAGAGGUUGAGAAUGAUAGACAGAGAGAUAUGAUAUAGAGGAAGGUACUGGAGAGAGGUUUAGAAUGAUAGACAGAGAGAUAUGAUAUAGAGGAAGGUACUGGAGAGAGGUUUAGAAUGAUAGACAGAGAGAUGGUAUAGAGGAAGGUACUGGAGAGAGGUUUAGAAUGAUAGACAGAGAGAGAUGAUAUAGAGGAAGGUACUGGAGAGAGGUUUAGAAUGAUAGACAGGGAGAUAUGAUAUAGAGGAAGGUACUGG